CGGCGAUGGUUCAUUCAAAUUUCUGCCCUAUCAACUUUCGAUGGUAGGAUAGUGGCCUACCAUGGUUUCAACGGGUAACGGGGAAUUAGGGUUCGAUUCCGGAGAGGGAGCCUGAGAAACGGCUACCACAUCCAAGGAAGGCAGCAGGCACGCAAAUUACCCAAUCCCGACACGGGGAGGUAGUGACAAUAAAUAACAAUACAGGGCUUUUUAUGGUCUUGUGAUUGGAAUGAGUACAAUUUAAAUACCUUAACGAGGAACAAUUGGAGGGCAAGUCUGGUGAAAUGCUGACGCCAGAGAUAGUGGGGUCCUUGGCAUCCACUGGCUAAGGAUUAGGCCCGCUAGUCGAGUGUUCACUAAAUAGUGGGCGAACACCGGCGAGGUAACCUGGAACGGGGAAGCCUAAGUUGCGUAAAGUAAUAUGGUGAU
rnacentral:rRNA from 1 species